CACGCAGGCGGACUGAUAAGUCGGGGGUGAAAUCCCGGGGCUCAACCUCGGAAUUGCCUUCGAUACUGUCAGUCUUGAGUACGGGAGAGGUUGGCGGAAUUCCUAGUGUAGAGGUGAAAUUCGUAGAUAUUAGGAAGAACACCAGUGGCGAAGGCGGCCAACUGGCCCGUUACUGACGCUCAUGUGCGAAAGCGUGGGGAGCAAACAGGAUUAGAUACCCUGGUAGUCCACGCCGUAAACUAUGGAUGCUAGCCGUUGGGGAGCUUGCUCUUCAGUGGCGCAGCUAACGUCUUAAGCAUCCCGCCUGGGGAGUACGGUCGCAAGAUUAAA
rnacentral:rRNA from 1 species